UACAGAGGUCCCACGCGUUGUUCGGAUUCAUUGGGCGUAAAGGGUGCGUAGGCGGCGCGGUAAGUCGGGUGUGAAAUCUUGGAGCUUAACUCCGAAACUGCAUUCGAUACUGCCGUGCUUGAGGACUGGAGAGGAGACUGGAAUUUACGGUGUAGCGGUGAAAUGCGUAGAUAUCGUAAGGAAGACCAGUGGCGAAGGCGGGUCUCUGGACAGUUCCUGACGCUGAGGCACGAAGGCCAGGGGAGCAAACGGG
rnacentral:rRNA from 1 species